rnacentral:rRNA from 1 species
GCCGGUGGUUAUAGCGAGGGGGAAACACCUGGUCCCAUCCCGAACCCAGCAGUUAAGCCCCUCAGCGCCGAUGGUACUCGGGCGUAAUGCCCCGGGAGAGUAGGUCGCCGCCGGCU